rnacentral:rRNA from 1 species
GUGCCAGCAGCCGCGGUAAUACGUAGGGUCCAAGCGUUAUCCGGAAUCACUGGGCGUAAAGCGUGCGUAGGUGGGCGCUUAAGUGAGAGGUUAAAUCGUGUGGCUCAACCAUAUCGAUGCCUCUCAUACUGGGUGCCUAGAGGACAGCAGAGGCAAGUGGAACUGGUAGUGUAGCAGUGAAAUGCGUAGAUAUUACCAAGAACACCAAUGGCGAAGGCAGCUUGCUGGGCUACUCCUGACACUGAGGUACGAAAGCGUGGGGAGCAAACAGGAUUAGAUACCCUGGUAGUCC